rnacentral:rRNA from 1 species
AACGAACGCUGGCGGCAUGCCUAACACAUGCAAGUCGAACGAGACCUUCGGGUCUAGUGGCGCAUGGGUGCGUAACGCGUGGGAACCUGCCCUUAGGUUCGGAAUAACUCCCCGAAAGGGGUUCUAAUACCGGAUAAUGUCUUCGGACCAAAGAUUUAUCGCCUUUGGAUGGGCCCGCGUUGGAUUAGCUAGUUGGUAGGGUAAAAGCCUACCAAGGCGACGAUCCAUAGCUGGUCUGAGAGGAUGACCAGCCACACUGGGACUGAGACACGGCCCAGACUCCUACGGGAGGCAGCAGUGGGGAAUAUUGGACAAGGGGAGAAAGCCUGAUCCAGCAAUGCCGCGUGAGUGAUGAAGGCCUUAGGGUUGUAAAGCUCUUUUACCCGGGAUGAUAAUGACAGUACCGGGAGAAUAAGCUCCGGCUAACUCCGUG